ACCAGAAAAAAUCAUCAGAAACCCCCAAGAACAAAAUAGAAAAGAAAUCAUAGGGAAAUCGAAAGUAGAAUCUGAGACUGGCAGAGGUAAAGCUCCAGCCUCCAACCCAGCCCUCUCGCACAGACAGCCCUAUUUUACUUCACCACGGCCGCGGCCUUUGUGUGGCCUCCGUCCCCUGUUAUCCCUUCUUCUUCCCCGUCUCGCCUCCUCCCUCCUCCUCCUCCCCACCGGCAAACCCCCUCUCGAUCUCCACCGCUCGCCGAGUUUCGCCCAAUUCGCGCCCUGCCGGAGCCCGGGUCCACGAAGAGGGCCCCCUUUCGCCGGCCGCGGCGCCGCCGAUGAGACUGGCCGCCGCCGCGCCAUGCAACCCCCGACGGCCGCUCUGUCUGCGUCGUCGCUGGAGUGCGCGAGCUCGUGCAGGGCCUUGUGGAAGGGGGGCGGAGGAGCUGGGAGGCCCUACGAAUGCAGCGUGCUCUCCUGCGCCUGGAACGCUCCACGCGCGCUCACCGGCGCGCUUGCCAGCACCACGCAGUGCUCCUCCUGUAGCCACGCUGAAGCCGUAGGCGGCGGGAGGCGGCGAGGUCGCCCACGGCAGAGUAACAACAACACGUUACUGCACAUCACCUGGGCAGAAGACAUCAACAAAGGAAUGUUGGGCCAUGGUUCAUCAGCUAGUUUUGUUUCCUCGGAAAAAAAAACAGAUAUUGGUCAACUCCUGUGAAAUCAAUGUGGAGGGUUUCCUGCUAUUCGUCAGGACCGUUUGACCUUGUUUCUCCAGAAACGUUGUGGGAGAGUCUCAGACCAGCUAUCUCGUACCUUCAACCUGAAGAGUUGAACUUCGUACAUGACGCUUUAGAGUUAGCAUAUGAAGCACAUAAUGGGCAGAAACGCCGGAGUGGGGAACCUUUCAUCAUUCAUCCUGUUGAAGUUGCUCGUAUUCUUGGGGAGCACGAACUUGACUGGGAAUCAAUCGCUGCUGGUUUAUUGCAUGACACUGUUGAAGAUACUGACAUGGUUACUUUUGAAACAAUCCAAAAUGAGUUUGGGGCAACAGUAAGUCGUAUUGUUGAAGGGGAAACAAAGGUGUCUAAGCUAGGGAAACUUCAAUGCAAAAAUGAGGGUAGUUCAAAACAAGAUGUCAAAGCUGAAGACUUAAGACAGAUGUUUCUUGCAAUGACAGAAGAGGUUCGUGUAAUCAUUGUGAAACUGGCAGACAGGUUGCAUAACAUGCGUACUCUUACACAUAUGCCUCAGCACAAGCAGUAUGCUAUCGCCAUGGAGACGCUGCAGGUUUUUGCACCCCUAGCAAAACUUCUCGGGAUGUAUCAAAUAAAGUCUGAGUUAGAGUAUCUGUCCUUCAUGUACAUGAAUCCUGGUGAUUUCGCUGAACUAAGGAAAAGAGUUGAUGAUAUCUUCAAAGCCCAUGAACAAGAAUUGGAAGAGGCAAAUAAAAUCCUAAAGCAAAAAAUUGCUGAGGAUCAAUUUCUUGAUCUUGUGAGUGUUGAAACAGAAGUGCGCUCAGUGUGUAAAGAACUUUACAGCAUUUAUAAAACCGCUCUCAAAUCCAAGAGUUCAUUAAAUGAGGUAAAUCAGGUUGCUCAGCUGCGGAUCAUCAUAAAACCAAAAUCCUGCAAUGGUGUUGGGCCACUGUUUACCGCACAACAGAUCUGCUACCAUGUCCUUGGUCUUGUUCAUGGCAUAUGGACACCUAUACCUCAAGCUGUUAAAGAUUAUAUUGCAACUCCAAAGCCUAAUGGCUAUCAAAGUCUACAUACUACAGUGAUACCGUUUCUUAAUGAGAGUAUGUUCCAUUUGGAAGUUCAGAUAAGAACAGAGGAUAUGGAUCUGAUAGCAGAAAGAGGCAUUGCUGCACACUACAGUGGAAGAGGGGUGGUUUCAGGACCUGUUUGUCCUGGAAUAUCUAGUGGAAGAAAUUUAGAUGGGAAAGUGAUCUGUCUUAACAAUACAGGCUUUGCUCUGAGGAUUGGUUGGCUGAAUGCAAUCCGUGAAUGGCAAGAAGAGUUUGUUGGUAACAUGAGCUCUAGGGAAUUUGUGGAUACUAUUACCAGAGAUCUUCUGGGAAGCCGUGUCUUCGUGUUUACACCUAAAGGCGAGAUUAAAAACCUGCCUAAAGGGGCCACUGUGAUUGAUUAUGCAUAUCUGAUCCAUACAGAAAUCGGCAAUAAAAUGGUAGCAGCAAAGGUGAAUGGUAAUCUAGUUUCACCAAUCCAUGCACUUGCGAACGCUGAAGUAGUGGAGAUAAUAACUUACGAUAAAUUGUCCAGUAAAUAUGCAUUCCAGCGUCAUCAGCAGUGGCUGCAACAUGCCAAAACCCGCAGUGCUAGGCACAAAAUUAUGAAAUUCUUAAGGGAGCAAGCUGCUCUUUCUGCUGCUGAAAUAACGGCGGAUGCAGUUAAUAACUUUGUCGCUGAUCUUGAAGAUGAAAGUGACAGUGAGCAGUUAAUUCCAACCACACAAAACGAUGACCAUAAAUUCAAUUGGCAGAAGAUAUUAAGUUCCAACAAGUUAUCCUUUGUGAAUAAAAAUAGCGAUGGCUUUUUACCAGUUAACAACGUUCACACGCCAAAGAUUAACGGGAAGCACAACAAAACUGUCAAGGAACUAGGCAUCAAAAUUAAUGGUUCAACAGUUCGAGGUGAUAGCUCCACUGACUUCAUGCGCCCUGGCGUCCCAGCCUAUAAGGAAGUUUUUGCUAGUUUGGAUAAUUGGAAAUGCGGUAAAAUUUCCUCUUGGCACAAUACAGAAGGCAACUCUAUCCAAUGGCUUUGCAUAGUGUGUGUUGAUCGAAAAGGGAUGAUGGCUGAAGUCACUUCGGCUUUGACAGCUUGCGGAAUCACCAUAUGUUCCUGUGUGGCAGAGAGAGAUAACAGAAGAGGAAUGGGUGUGCUGCUUUUCCAUUUUGAGGGAACUGAUGAGAAUGUGGUGAGCGCAUGCUCCAGUGUUGAGAUGAUUCUUGGCGUUCUUGGUUGGUCUGCUGGGUGUAGUUAUGAUCCGCUUGGCGUUCUUGGCUGAUGUCAAUUAAUUCUUGAGUGCUAGUGUAGUCGUGAUGCACAGUUGACCUUCAUCUCCACUGAAGCUGAGACAAUUUUGGAAAGCACCAAUGGAUGAAAUGUUUUGGGAGCAGUCAGGUCUUGGUUCCCUUUACUUUGUCAAAGCAGGCAGAUGAAACUAGAACCAGAUGUUACCACGCUUCAUUUGGAAGCGAGAGAGUGUACAUAGCUGAGCGAGUAGUAUACUUUUAGUGCAGGGAUUGGCUGGGUUUAUACAGAAAAAGGCCUCCGUGAAUGACCAAAUGAAGGCUGGUUUCUUCUCUCUUUUUUACCCUUCUGAGCGUUGCAUAUACUAGUUGUGUAAUUGAAUGUGCAGCUAGAGUUUUGACCUGGAAUCUCAGUGUCCCAAAAUUUUGACCCUA